rnacentral:rRNA from 1 species
CAGCCGCCACGGUAAUACAGAGGGUGCGAGCGUUAAUCGGAUUUACUGGGCGUAAAGCGUGCGUAGGCGGCUUUUUAAGUCGGAUGUGAAAUCCCUGAGCUUAACUUAGGAAUUGCAUUCGAUACUGGGAAGCUAGAGUAUGGGAGAGGAUGGUAGAAUUCCAGGUGUAGCGGUGAAAUGCGUAGAGAUCUGGAGGAAUACCGAUGGCGAAGGCAGCCAUCUGGCCUAAUACUGACGCUGAGGUACGAAAGCAUGGGGAGCAAACAGGAUUAGAUACCCGCGUAGUCCCUGUCUCUUAUAA